rnacentral:rRNA from 1 species
UACGGGGGGAGCAAGCGUUGUUCGGAUUUACUGGGCGUAAAGGGCGCGUAGGCGGCGUGACAAGUCACUUGUGAAAUCUCCGGGCUUAACUCGGAACGGUCAAGUGAUACUGUCGUGCUAGAGUCCGGAAGAGGCGAGUGGAACUCCUGGUGUAGCGGUGAAAUGCGCAGAUAUCAGGAGGAACACCAAUGGCGAAGGCAGCUCGCUGGGACGGUACUGACGCUGAGGCGCGAAAGCGUGGGGAGCAAACAGG